UGAGCAGUAUUCAACUGUAUAUUAAUAAUUAUAAACAAUGUUCUUCUAGAAUGGUCUUUGAAUAUAAACUCAGCAACUUAAAGCUGGUGUCCAGUGCAGCAACA